rnacentral:lncRNA from 1 species
CAGGAGUUCAAGACCAGCCUGGGCAACAUAGUAGCUCGUAAGCUGGUCUUCCUGGAGGGUGAGCUGGAGAGGGCAGAGGAGCGUGUGGAGGUGUCUGAACUAAAAUGUGGUGACCUUGAAGAAGAACUCAAGAAUGUUACUAACAAUCUGAAAUCUCUGGAGGCUGCGUCUGAAAAGUAUUCUGAAAAGGAGGACAAAUGUGAAGAAGAAAUUAAACUUCUGUGUGACAAACUGAAAGAGGCUGAGACCCGUGCUGAAUUUGCAGAGAGAACGGUUGCAAAACUGGAAAAGACAAUUGAUGACCUGGAAGAGAAACUUGCCCAGGCCAAAGAAGAGAACGUGGGCUUACAUCAGACACUGGAUCAGACACUAAACGAGCUUAACUGUAUAUAAGCAAAACAGAAGAGUCUUGUUCCAACAGAAACUCCGGAGCUCCGUGGGUCUUUCUCUUCUCUUCUACAGGGGGAUAAAGCACCAAUGAACACACAAUCCAGCCUCUUAACCUCUCUCCAGCACCUAGCUACUUCAAGUUAGAACUUCAAAUUUGAACCAAGGAAAACAAUGUUCUGUGAAUCUUUUUCUCCCUGGAAAAAUAGGAGAGAAUGAAGUUCUUUUCUGUCUAUAGUUCGCGACAGCUAGGGGAUGAUGAAAGUUGCAUGCAUUGUUUUUCAUAAUGUGUGAUUUAUUCCUUAAGAAAAAGUCACUCAGAUGAUUCUUGGUGCUCAAGAUGUUGAAAUGUUCUGACUCUUCUCUAAUACAACAAUAGUAAAGUGAAUUCAACAGCCUACUGCUCACUUUAAAACACCGGGGUACCUCUGUGCUUCCCAGAUAUUAUCGUUUCCCAUGGCAGGUUCUAAACUGGUAGUCUGAAGCCUAGCUCUGGUCUGCAGACAUGUUUUAUUUGGACUCCACAGUAUUUUUACAAACUUUGAGCCAAAAUGUAAAAAUAGGGAGAUUUCACACCAAAAAAAUCAGAGUCACUUCACUUUAAUGAGAAUAUGUGACAAGACUAGACUCUCGUGUGGCAUGGAUCCUUCUUCGUAUGACAGUGAGCAGCUGGAACUGGCUAGUGACUACCCUAAGAUGCCACAGUUUCCACCGUUCCCUACCAUUGACCUGACUUUGGGGCUGAGUUUUCAUUUACUGAUCUUGGGGCCAGUUUUCAUUUACUGAUCUUUGUACUUGCUAUGUUAUUUAUCUCAAAGUAAAGAAAUAUUUAUCUGGGCCCAUGUCUUUAUCACGGGAAAGAUAUCAGGCCAGGCACGAUGACUCAUGCCUGUAAUCCCAGCGUGGAGACCCAGGCAGGCAGAUCACUUGAGGUCAGGAGUUCGAGACCAGCCUAGGCAACAUGGCGAACCCCUGUCUCUAUUAAAAAUAUAAAAAUUAGCCAGGAGUGGUGGUGCAUGCUUGCAAUCUCAGCUAUUUGGGAGGCUGAGGCAGGGAAAUCACUUGAACUCGGGAGGCGGAGGUUGCAGUGAGCCGCAAUCGUGCCACUGCACUCCAGCCUGAGCAACAGAGUGAGACUUUGUCUCAAAAAAAAAAAAAAAAAAAAAAAACAAGCAAAAAGAGUAAGACAGCAAAAGAUAAACUGAAAAUUAUAUUUCAAGUAAAACAGGAGUGCACAAAUUUCUUCACGGACUUGAGGAAUAUUCCUGCACGUUCAACAUGUAAACUUUAUAUGUUUGUCAAAAGAUUGUAUGUGUUGAAAGAGAACCCAAGAACCUGGUUACUGCCUAGACCCUGAAGUCAAUUGAGGUCUCUUUGGAGAGCUCAAAUUAAGGAGUGUCAUCUCAGACAAGAGGCGGUAGAGUCAUGAUGGACAAGAGGCUUUGGAGCCAACUGCCUGGGUGUACUCCAGGUUCCACUACUGAUUAGCUGAUAACUAGCUAACUAGUUGUUAACCAUUCAAAGUUUCAGUUUCCUCAUCUGUAAAAUGGGAAUAAUAACAGUAGCUACCACAUAGGGCUCUUGUGAGGAUUAAAUGAAUUCAUACAUGUAAAGUGCUUAUAGUAGUGUCUGGCUCAUAGUGAAUGUAUAUAAGAAAUGCUAUUAUUAUUGAAUAGAUCAAGGUCUCUUGGGUGGGGCCCAGAAAUAUACUUUUCAAAUAAGCUCUCCAAGUGAUUCUCAUGCACAAUAAAAUUUGAGAACUGCUGAACUAGAGACACACCCCUUGGCAUUCCUAUUUACAAAGAAAACAUUUAAGGAAGCCUAUUCUACUUCAGUAAGUAAGCAAACACCUUCUGCAUGGAAAGUUUUUGGGGUAAAAUAAAAAGCUGUGUCACUGCUCAGAGUGCAGGAGAGAAUAAUGACAGGUGAUUGUACCCUUGAGGCUCACCAGGUUACUGGAUUCAUCCCCCAAUUUAAACCUUUUCCCCAUAUUAGGUAAAACAAGUUCUAAAAUACAUUAGUUCUUUGAAACCAGUGAUAGCCCAAAGUAUGGUCAGACUGGCAGCAUCAGUAUCACCUGGGAAAUUCUUAGAUAUGUUAUUCUCAGGUUCCAUCGCAGGCUUCCCCACUGCAAUGGUAUUAUUUUUCCCUUUCCAUAAUAUAUUCAUUGGAACUAAGUCACUACUAAAUCCAGCCCACACUCAGGAGGAGGAGAAUUAUGUUUCAAUUUCUAGAGGGGGCGGUAUCUACAUUAAUUAGAAUUCUUCUGCGCAAAAGAUGUGCCCCUCCUCCCCUCAUUUAUUUAUUCAUUAGUUUUUAUUGAUGUGUACUCAGGGAUAUUUAAUUUUUUAGUUUAUAAUCCUAUAUUAUGACUAUUUAUUUUCUUGCUCAAAUCGUCCUGAGCUUUGGCCAUUGGGAACUGUUUCAGGUUGGCUCCUGUGUCCUUUUGACAUCCCCAAGCUCAUUUUUCCUGUCCCAGCCCCAAAGAGCCAUAGAAUUGAGAAACCAAGAUCUGGACACUAGUUGUGUUUAUUGAUGCUGGGUGUCAUUACUUCUAGGCCCUGUCAUCUGACACAGCAAGGAAAUAUAUGUGUGUAUUCUAAUACAUGUAUGCACACAUAUCUAUGUAUUUUUCUGAAUCUGGCUACCUGCAUGCAUAUGUACGAAAAUAUAUUAAAAUACAGAUAUAAAAUAAACAUAAGUUUAUACUGGUAUCUCUUACUGUAAUUCAGCAGCAUAGGGGACAUUCUAGCCUUCUCGUCUUGCACAUUUGUAACUCCUUCCUCUAAGUUGUAUUUAUUUGUUCAACUCUAGUAUAUAUUGCUAACCAGAAGCCCUGAAGAAAAAAAUUUACCAACUUAGGUAAGGUGUUUAUACUGAGUUCUUUUUGUCUUUAGUCUUACAGUCUCCAAUAAAAAUAGCAUUUUUAAAAGUUGCUGAGGUCAGCUCCCCACCCCUUUCUGUGAGGUUAUUGUAUACAUUUGAAAUAUAGUUAAAUGUAUUUGUUGCAAACAGAGCUCCAUUCUGGGGUGGGAUAGAUUUUUUAUAGUCCAUUUGCUCAAGGAUUUAUUGAAUAUCAGGACUCCUAGCAACCAUAAAAUGCUUUAUAUGUUUUCAGUAUACUUUGUAUGUAUGUGUGUAAGGCUGUAUAUAACAUUCUUCAAAGAAUACAUGUUCACUGGAGAAAAAUAUCCAAAACUACAGGAAAGCAAAAAGAAAAUAAGUCACCAGGCAGCCUAUUGCCUGGAAAUAACCAUGAUCAAAAUUUUAUGAUAUAUUCUUCUAAGCUCUUCUAGAUGAACAAAGUUGGCAUUAUAAAUUCACAUUAUUUUGAACCUGCUUUUUACCUUUACUACAUCAUAAACAUAAGAUAGUAUUUGGAUGUAAAAAAUGCAAAUUUAAAAAAUAUUUUCUCCUCCUUUUUUCUAGGGAUUUCAGAUUAGUAAUCAGAGAUGCUAAGCAAAUGCUAAUACAGGCAUACCAAUAAACAACUGGGACUCUUCCUGGCAAGGGGAACUGAUUAAUAAAAUGGGUGCAAACAUUAAUUGAUGGUGUAAAUUAAGAAUCAAAUCCCUGUUUUAAACAUGUUAUACACACAGUGCAAUCAAGAAAAGCAUUUAACCAAAUUUGUUCAUGAAUUCCAUUGUGUGCUGUUGAAUAGCUAAUUUAUAAUUGCAUUUGUCUGUAAAAUAAUCUAUUAAUAAAAUUGGAGAAAAUUGGGCAUAGAUUCAUUAUCUCAGUCAGUUCUAGAUGCUCACUGAAGAACGUUUUCCCUGCAAAUGAGGUGGAGACCUCAUUAUCAUGCUCAGCAGACUGGGAAGCACAUAUCUGUCCUUUAUUUCUCCAGUGUUGAGUAAUGUUCCAGAAACCCAACUAAUUCAUUAAAGUUAGCAAAAAACUUGUGUUCAUGCUUAAUCUUCUUUGGUGUUAAUUAGAGUUGUCUGUGGCUUAAAAAAUGUUUUAUAAUUUACUGAAACGAAGAAUAAAUUGCCUAUCAGCUUUGUAAAAGUAUUUGUGCUUUCUGCUGGUAGUUCUUGUCCUUUCUGGAGAAAAAUGGUUUGAAAAACGUUUUAUAAACUGAAACGAAGAAUCAAUUGCCUAUCAGCUUUAUAAAGGUAUUUGUGCUUUCUGCUGGUAGUUCUUGUCCUUUGUGGAGAAAAAGCUGGGCCCUUGAGUCACCCUUCCUUUUCGGAAUUUUUGCUUUCCCACUGCUCUUUGGACUCAUGAAAGGUCAGGGUAGAAAAGACUCAGAGAAGUAAUCCAGAAACUACUGUCAAUAUUAAACACAGAGAAAGUUAGAAAGUCUACAGCUAAAUGGGCAGGAAUAAAGAGCCUGUAGUGAAGUAUUCAUUUAUUCAUUCUUU